rnacentral:rRNA from 1 species
GAUGAACGCUGGCGGCGUGCCUAAUACAUGCAAGUCGAGCGAACAGACGAGGAUCUUGCUCCUUUUACGUUAGCGGCGGACGGGUGAGUAACACGUAGGUAACCUACCUAUAAGACUGGGAUAACUUCGGGAAACCGGAUCUAAUACCGGAUAAUAUUUCGAACCGCAUGGUUCGAUAGUGAAAGAUGGCUUUGCUAUCACUUAUAGAUGGACCUGCGCCGUAUUAGCUAGUUGGUAAGGUAACGGCUUACCAAGGCAACGAUACGUAGCCGACCUGAGAGGGUGAUCGGCCACACUGGAACUGAGACACGGUCCAGACUCCUACGGGAGGCAGCAGUAGGGAAUAUUCCGCAAUGGGCGAAAGCCUGACGGAGCAACGCCGCGUGAGUGAUGAAGGUCCUCGGAUCGUAAAACUCUGUUAUUAGGGAAGAACAACCGUGUAAGUAACUGUGCACGUCUUGACGGUACCUAAUCAGAAAGCAACGGCUAACUACGUG